rnacentral:rRNA from 1 species
GAUGAACGCUGGCGGCGUGCCUAAUACAUGCAAGUCGAGCGAACAGACGAGGAGCUUGCUCCUCUGACGUUAGCGGCGGACGGGUGAGUAACACGUGGAUAACCUACCUAUAAGACUGGGAUAACUUCGGGAAACCGGAGCUAAUACCGGAUAAUAUAUUGAACCGCAUGGUUCAAUAGUGAAAGACGGUUUUGCUGUCACUUAUAGAUGGAUCCGCGCCGCAUUCGCUAGUUGGUAGGGUAACGGCUUACCAAGGCGAGGAUGCGUAGCCGACCUGAGAGGGUGAUCCGCCACACUGGAACUGAGACACGGUCCAGACUCCUACGGGAGGCAGCAGUAGGGACUCUUCCGCAAUGGGCGAAAGCCUGACGGAGCAACGCCGCGUGAGUGAUGAAGGUCUUCUGAUCGUAGAGCUCUGUUAUUAGGGAGGAACAAAUGUGUAAGUAACUAUGCACGUCUUGACGGUACCUGGUCAGAAAGCCCCGGCUAACUACGUG